GAAGCAGUGCCUGGGGGUGCUGAGGGUGGAGAAGGCUCUGCAGGAAGGGAGCAGAGCAGGGAGCAGAGCCCUUCCUGCAUCACCUGCACGUUCUCAUCUCGAGAUCCGCGGGGAACGCGAAGAAAGCCGCCUUAGGAUACGGGUAAAGUGUUGGGAACCUGGAUCUGCUCCGGGCAUCACCAGGAAUGGGCAGGAGAAGCUGUGCGUGCAUUCCAAGGGCUGCACUGCCACCUCCAGGCCCUCCCUUUCCCACGUUUGGGCUUUUGCACUUCA
rnacentral:lncRNA from 1 species